AAUUAAAUAUUCUCUUAAUUUGCAUUUCGUCCACUGGAGAUCAAACAAAUUCUAGUUUACAAAAUUCAUUCGGGGAAAAAGGGAACCUUUAAUAAAAUACACUUCAUAUUAAAAAUCAAAAUGAAAUAACUCUUCCUUCUAGAAAAAAAUAAUGUAUCUGAAUGCUAGGACAUCUUUGAAAUCUCUAUGGAAACCCUAUUGGUUUUCAUAGUAAUGGUUGUGAUCUCCAGUAGCGCCUACGUCAUCAAUGUAUUGUAAGCUCAAAUCUAUGAAUGUGCAUUACUUGUCAAUAAACAAGUCUAUGUCAGUAU
rnacentral:misc_RNA from 1 species